UGCUUGUUGGAACACCUCAGUGACCUUUCCUCUGGUGGACUCAUCUACAGCAAAUACCAUCAGCCAAUAUGUGUUGAAUCCAUUGACAUAGAAAGAAAUUGUAUCAAAUACAGAAGAGUAGUGUGCAAGUGGAGAUCAUGUUUCUACUCUGGCUUUAAAGCAAAGAAAAUUCUCUAUUCCAUAGCAAUGGAUAAACAAAGUAAUUGAAGGGUAGGAGCAAAGUUGCAUUAACUUCACGUCUUCACCCCCUAACUCUCUAAGGUUCAACGUGUACAUGUGACAACCUAGUACAAGGUUCUCAUAAUCAAUUCUAGCUGUGAUGUCUCCAUCACAUACAUUUCGGGAAGAACUUGAUGAUAAGAAUUUGUCAAAUGAAGAAAAUAAAUGGCCAUACUGUGUGAUAUCUCUUCCUUGCUAAAAGCUGCUUGGAGGAGGAGCAGGAGGGGUAGAGUAGAAGAGAAGGAUUAAAGAAAAAAGAGAGGUGAAGAUGAGAAACAAAAGAAGGCUUGGUUUGAAUUGGCACUCUUCUAGCAUGUUUGGUUUAGAUUUAGGGUUUAGGGUUUAGGGUUUAGGGUUUACAAGACAAUUUACGUGGAAGUUAUAAUUUUUUACUUCUCAUAAACGUGAAUUUUCACGUCUAAAAGCUAAAGCAAACACGCACUUCAUUAUAAUACUUAUCAGUGUAAUGUGAUGCUUGCAUCCAUGGUACAAGCCUAUUUAAUUCUUCAUGUUAUGGGGGCCAGGAUGUGGUCCCUACGUGUCAAAGUUUCGUAUGUAAUUAUUAAUUAUUAAUUAGAUUUGAAACAA